CCAGACAAAAGCUCUCAUGGAGGACACCAGCCUGGGAGCUUCCCGGUGCUCAGUGCCUGCUCCAAGGGCUGAUCAUGGCUCCAGAGGAGCUGGAAGGGCACAGAGGGAGAGGCAGCCCAGCAGGCUCCGCUGAGCUGUGGUGGUGUCUCCAGGCCUGGACCUGCUGUGGCUCCAAAGGGUUGAGUCCACCCCGAACUGAGGACAUGUGAGUCUUGGCUGGUGUCUUGGUGCUGCCUGCAGGGACUGACAACUGUGCCAGCAAGGCUGGAGAACCCCAAUGCACCCAGGAUCCCAACUUGAAGCAGGAGGAAUGAGCUGUGCUCCAGCAGGAGGAGGUGCUGGCUUUCCUGACCCCAUCCCUGAAAGUCUCUGUCUCCUGUUUGCCACACCAAGCUGGAGGUGCUCAGGCAUCAGCAUCUCUGCAUGUUUUGGGAACUGUGCUCUGGCCAUGCCAAAAUCUUGGCAUUCCAAGUCUGAGGGAGGACUGGAGACACCCAUUCCCAACUGUGUGGGCUCAGCCAGGAUCCCUCCUCUCUGCCACACGGGGAACAGCACCACAAGCACAAGAAGAAGCAUUUUCCCAAUGGGUCCAGCUCCUUCCUGAGCUCUUUUGCGUGUUCAGAAAAGCCCAGCCAGGAAGAUUUCCAUGGAAGGGUCAGCUCUGGCUUGUAUUUGUGACUUGGGAAUUGCUCUGCACAGGCUGCAAUGGCAUUUCCAGUUUAAAACACCCCCUUGAAGUCAAGUUUGCAUUUGGAUGUGGAUGCAAAUGAGAACCCAAUCAGGUUUCUUUUCCUGUAAAUAUUUUGUUUCUGCUUGGAGGAAACAAAGCACCUGUGUGUGGUUUGUGCUGAGUUUUCUGCUCUUAUUUGGGUUUGGAUUUCGACCUGCCCAUGUAGGACAAAUGUUUUGCAUCCACAAGAUUUAAAUGAGCCGGGAGACUUGUUCCCCUCCCAGCCCUGCUGACAGGUUCCAGGCUGUUUGCAGAGGCUUUCCUGAAUUGAUGAUUUCUAGGUCAAGGAGAGUGUUACGUUUUUUUGACCGUUUGUCUUGUGCUAAUCGCUGUCAGCCCCGAGAUUUAUGCACAGAUAGUGACAGCAGAUGGGGUCACUUUUAUUAGGAAUUCACACACCAGGCAGGGAAAGGCAAAGGCGUGGGGGCCUUUGCCAGGUAGGCUGUGGAUACUCAGGGACUCCUGCACCGAAAAUAUUUAACAAAGCUUCAGCUUGUGGAUUUUCAUUAUUUCUUGUAAUAAAUGCUUUUACAUACAGUUGUGUUUUUUUCUU
rnacentral:lncRNA from 1 species